GACUACUACUCUACAGCCCCUUUCUGUUGCCAGCUUCCUGUCUUUAUAAACCCAGCCCAGCUACUCCCCCAGCUGGAUUUCAUCAGCAAAUUAGGCCUUAGCAUUCCCUGGCUUUCCUCCAGAAGGAACUUAAUUGGCAGAUUGGA